GACGAACGCUGGCGGCGUGCUUAACACAUGCAAGUCGAGCGGUAAGGCCCUUUCGGGGGUACGACGAGCGGCGAACGGGUGAGUAACACGUGGGUGACCUGCCCUCCAGCUCUGGGAUAAGCCUGGGAAACCGGGGUACUAAUACCGGAUAUGACUCCAUGACGCAUGUUGUGGGGUGGAAAGCCUUGUGCGGCUGAGGAUGGGCCCGCGGCCUAUCAGCUUGUUGGUGGGGUGAUGGCCUACCAAGGCGACGACGGGUAGCCGGCCUGAGAGGGCGACCGGCCACACUGGGACUGAGACACGGCCCAGACUCCUACGGGAGGCAGCAGUGGGGAAUCUUGCGCAAUGGGCGAAAGCCUGAUGGAGCGACGCCGCGUGCAGGAUGACGGCCU
rnacentral:rRNA from 1 species